rnacentral:rRNA from 1 species
UACGUAGGGACCAAGCGUUGUUCGGAUUUACUGGGCGUAAAGGGCGCGUAGGCGGCGUGACAAGUCACUUGUGAAAUCUCCGGGCUUAACUCGGAACGGUCAAGUGAUACUGUUGUGCUAGAGUACAGAAGGGGCAAUCGGAAUUCUUGGUGUAGCGGUGAAAUGCGUAGAUAUCAAGAGGAACACCAGAGGCGAAGGCGGAUUGCUGGGCUGAUACUGACGCUGAGGAGCGAAAGCGUGGGGAGCAAACAGG